CCUUCUCUCUCCAGUUUCUCUCUCCAGAUUCUCUCUCUAGAUCUUUUUCUCUUUUUUUAUGGAUUUUAUCUCUCUAGAGUCUUUCUCUCUCUUUGAUUUCAUCACAGAUCCUAGGAUAAACUUGAGAUAAAAAUAAGAUAAUUUGAGAUUGCUUCGAAAUUCGUGCAGUAGAUCUGAUUCCAGCCCGAUCCUAUUCAAAAUUUAUAAUAUUUGAUUUAUAUUAAGUCACCUUGAUAUAA
rnacentral:lncRNA from 1 species